rnacentral:rRNA from 1 species
ACACACCGCCCGUCACACCAUGAGAGUUGGGAAUACCCGAAGCCUGUGAGCUAACUGUAAAGAGGCAGCAGUCGAAGGUAGAAUCAAUGAUUGGGGUGAAGUCGUAACAAGGUAGC